GACGAACGCUGGCGGCGUGCUUAACACAUGCAAGUCGAACGGCAAGGCUCCAGCUUGCUGGUGUACUCGAGUGGCGAACGGGUGAGUAACACGUGGGUAAUCUGCCCUGCACUCUGGGGUAAGCCUGGGUAACUGGGUCUAAUCCUGGAUAUGACCUUUCUCCUUAUGGGGUUUGGUGGAAAGUUUUUCGGUGUAGGAUUAGCCGGCGGCCUAUCGGCUUGUUGGUGGGGUGAUGGCAUACCAAGGCGACGACGGGUAGCCGGCCUGAGAGGGGGAACGGCGACAAUGGUACUGAGAGACGGCGCAGACUCCUACGGUAGGCAGUAGGGGGGAAUAUUGUACAAUGGGCGGAAGCCUGAGGCAGCGACGCCGCGUGUGUGAAGACGGCCUUCGGGUUGUAAACCGCUUUCAGCAGGGACGAAGCGUAAGUGACGGUACCUGCAGAAGAAGCACCGGCUAACUACGUG
rnacentral:rRNA from 1 species